rnacentral:rRNA from 1 species
GAUUGAAUGGCUCAGUGAGGCUUUCGGACUGGCCCAGGAGGGGGGGCAACUCCCCACCAGGGCCGGAAAGUUGUUCAAACUUGGUCAUUUAGAGGAAGUAAAAGUCGUAACAAGGUUUCCGUAGGUGAACCUGCGGAAGGAUCAUUACAGAGUUUUUGCCCGCAAGGGUAGAUCUCCCACCCUUGAAAUUUAUACCUUUGUUGCUUUGGCAGGCCGCGGUCUCCGCUGCUGGCUCCGGCUAGUACGUGCCUGCCAGAGAACCCAACUCUUGAUAUUUGUGAUGUCUGAGUACUAUAUAAUAGUUAAAACUUUCAACAACGGAUCUCUUGGUUCUGGCAUCGAUGAAGAACGCAGCGAAAUGCGAUAAGUAAUGUGAAUUGCAGAAUUCAGUGAAUCAUCGAAUCUUUGAACGCACAUUGCACCCCUUGGUAUUCCGAGGGGUAUGCCUGUUCGAGCGUCAUUAUGACCAUCAAGCCUAGCUUGGUAUUGGAGCCCGCCGUACCGGCGCCUCCUAAACCUAGUGGCGGUGCCGUCUGGCCCUAAGCGUAGUAAUCUUUCUCGCUACAGGGUCCUGCGGUUGCUCGCUAGACAACCCCAACUUCUUAAGGUUGACCUCGGAUCAGGUAGGGAUACCCGCUGAACUUAAGCAUAUCAAUAAGCGGAGGAAAAGAAACCAACAGGGAUUGCCUCAGUAACGGCGAGUGAAGCGGCAACAGCUCAAAUUUGAAAUCUGGCUUCGGUCCGAGUUGUAAUUUGUAGAAGAUGCUUCGAGUGUAGUCCCGGUCUAAGUUCCUUGGAACAGGACGUCAUAGAGGGUGAGAAUCCCGUAUGUGACUGGGUACUUUCGCUCAUGUGAAGCUCUUUCGACGAGUCGAGUUGUUUGGGAAUGCAGCUCAAAAUGGGUGGUAAAUUUCAUCUAAAGCUAAAUAUUGGCCAGAGACCGAUAGCGCACAAGUAGAGUGAUCGAAAGAUGAAAAGCACUUUGGAAAGAGAGUUAAACAGUACGUGAAAUUGUUGAAAGGGAAGCGCUUGCAACCAGACUUGCACGCUGCCGAUCAUCCGAGGUUUUCCCCGGUGCACUCGGUUGCGUUCAGGCCAGCAUCGGUUUGGGUGGUUAGAUAAAGGCCUUGGGAAUGUGGCUCUUCGGAGUGUUAUAGCCCUCGGUGCAAUGUAGCCUACCCGGACCGAGGACCGCGCUUCGGCUAGGAUGCUGGCGUAAUGGUUGUAAGCGACCCGUCUUGAAACACGGACCAAGGAGUGUAAUACUUAUGCGAGUGUUUGGGUGUUAAACCCAUACGCGUAAUGAAAGUGAACGGAGGUGAGAACCCUUAAGGGUGCAUCAUCGACCGAUCCUGAUGUCUUCGGAUGGAUUUGAGUAAGAGCAUAAUUAUUGCGACCCGAAAAAUGGUGAACUAUGCGUGAAUAGGGUGAAGCCAGAGGAAACUCUGGUGGAGGCUCGCAGCGGUUCUGACGUGCAAAUCGAUCGUCAAAUUGGCGCAUAGGGGCGAAAGACUA